UCCCUGGUGGUCCAGUGGUUAAGACUCUGUGCUCCUGACACAGGGGGCCUGGGUUUGAUCCCUGGUCAGGGAA